GAUGAACGCUGGCGGCGUGCCUAAUACAUGCAAGUCGAGCGAACAGACGAGGAGCUUGCUCCUCUGACGUUAGCGGCGGACGGGUGAGUAACACGUGGAUAACCUACCUAUAAGACUGGGAUAACUUCGGGAAACCGGAGCUAAUACCGGAUAAUAUAUUGAACCGCAUGGUUCAAUAGUGAAAGACGGUUUUGCUGUCACUUAUAGAUGGAUCCGCGCCGCAUUAGCUAGUUGGUAAGGUAACGGCUUACCAAGGCAACGAUGCGUAGCCGACCUGAGAGGGUGAUCGGCCACACUGGAACUGAGACACGGUCCAGACUCCUACGGGAGGCAGCAGUAGGGAAUCUUCCGCAAGGGGCGAAAGCCUGACGGAGCAACGCCGCGUGAGUGAUGAAGGUCUUCGGAUCGUAAAACUCUGUUAUUAGGGAAGAACAAAUGUGUAAGUAACUAUGCACGUCUUGACGGUACCUAAGCAGAAAGCCACGGCUAACUACGU
rnacentral:rRNA from 1 species